rnacentral:rRNA from 1 species
CCUAUGGGGGGCAGCAGUCGCGAAAACUUUGCAAUACACGCAAGUGUGACAGGGCUAUCCCGAGUGCCGCCCGCUGAGGGUGGCUUUUGCUCAGUUUAGCAAGCUGGGAGAAUAAGGAGAGGGCAAGUCUGGUGUCAGCCGCCGCGGUAAUACCAGCUCUCCGAGUGGUGUGGAUGUUUAUUGGGCCUAAAGCAUCCGUAGCUUGCUGUUCAAGUCCCCUGUUAAAUCCAAUGAAUUAAUUGUUGGUGUGCGGGGGAUACUGUUCGGCUAGGGGACGGGAGAGGCAGACGGUAUUUUCGGGGUAGGGGUGAAAUCCUAUAAUCCCGGGAAGACCACCAGUGGCGAAGGCUGUCUGCUAGAACGCGCCCGACGGUGAGGGAUGAAAGCUGGGGGAGCGAACCGGAUUAGAUACCCGAGUAGUCC